UGAUGGGUAGCUCAGUGGUAGAGCGCUAAUAUCCUUAUUCAUUUCCUUGUCUGCAAAGACCGAAGAAUUGAGGGUUAUCGACUUAUCAGCGAGAGGUCGCAGGUUCGAUUCCUGCCUCAUCAC
rnacentral:tRNA from 1 species